rnacentral:rRNA from 1 species
GCCCGCUCAAGAAACUACAAAUGAAGUGACGGGGGCCCGCACAAGCGGUGGAGUAUGUGGUUUAAUUCGAUGCAACGCGAAGAACCUUACCUGGUCUUGACAUCCCGGAGACCCUUAGGAAACUAGGGGGUGCUUCCAUCUGGAAGAAUCUGGAGACAGGUGCUGCAUGGCUGUCGUCAGCUCGUGUCGUGAGAUGUUGGAUUAAGUCCCGCAACGAGCGCAACCCUUGCCUUUAGUUGCCAGCAGUUCGGCUGGGCACUCUAAAGGGACUGCCGGUGUUAAACCGGAGGAAGGUGGGGAUGACGUCAAGUCCUCAUGGCCUUUAUGACCAGGGCUACACACGUACUACAAUGGCCGAUACAAAGGGCAGCGACACUGCGAGGUGAAGCCAAUCCCGUAAAAUCGGUCUCAGUCCGGAUUGGAGUCUGCAACUCGACUCCAUGAAGUUGGAAUCGCUAGUAAUCGUGGAUCAGCAUGCCACGGUGAAUACGUUCCCGGGCCUU